ACUCCUACGGGAGGCAGCAGUAGGGAAUCUUCCGCAAUGGGCGAAAGCCUGACGGAGCAACGCCGCGUGAGUGAAGAAGGUCUUCGGAUCGUAAAACUCUGUUAUUAGGGAAGAACAAAUGUGUAAGUAACUAUACACGUCUUGACGGUACCUAAAUCAGAAGCCAACGCUAACUACAGUGCCAGCAGGCCAGCGGUAAUACGGUGAAGGGUGGCAAUGCGCUUGAAUUCCGGAAUUAUUGGGGCGUAAAGCGCGCGUAGGCGGUUUUUUAAGUCUGAUGUGAAAGCCCACGGCUCAACCGUGGAGGGUCAUUGGAAACUGGAAAACUUGAGUGCAGAAGAGGAAAGUGGAAUUCCAUGUGUAGCGGUGAAAUGCGCAGAGAUAUGGAGGAACACCAGUGGCGAAGGCGACUUUCUGGUCUGUAACUGACGCUGAUGUGCGAAAGCGUGGGGAUCAAACAGGAUUAGAUACCCUGGUAGGAUAGCGU
rnacentral:rRNA from 1 species